rnacentral:pre_miRNA from 1 species
UACUCUACUCAAAAGGCCCUGGUUACUUCUGGUGCAAGUGAACAGUGCCUUUCUGAGUAGGGCA